ensembl:lncRNA
ACUGGAUGAUCAUUGUGGGCCUUUUCAACCCAGGCCAUUCUAUAAUUCUAAUGAAUACUAUGAAGCUGAAACUAUGAUUACUGUUGUUUUCUUGGCUACUGUUUUUUUUUUUUUCUCUGAGCAACAAGUGUACUAAUCCUUUUCCCUCCAGUAAGACUCUCUGCUAGAAUAGUAACAUGAGCACGUCUUGUUACUGUUCAUGUAUAUCAUACACAACAUAAGCACCUCAGUGAAUUGUAAUUAGUGAAUUAUUAGAACUGUUUUUAGCAAUGUAAUUUCAUAAUAGUAUUAAAGACUUGCCAUAAGAAACAACAACAACAACAAAAAUAAAAAAUGCACAGGCACUUCUGCAUCUUUUUCCCUGUUCUACUCAGCUGAAAUCCUGUAGCUGUUCCACGUAGGUUAGUCUCUGCCUAUCUUAUGAGCUGGUUGCACCAAUAUGUUGAAGGUUUCUCUUUCCCUAGGCAUCCUUGUUUUCCAUACAGUCUUUUAUUCUUUAAGCAGUUGGGUACAACAGUGAUCUAUGGUAUUCCUUCACUUUUUUCUUUAGUGUGCUCUUGUUCAUAUCCUAAGUAGCAUAUUACAACUUGCAGCUGUUCUAAUUCUUACUAUAGUUGUCACAGAUGACCUAACUGGGGCUUGUAUACCUGGACAUCAGAUGUAAUUUCCCCCUACACCCUCUACUGUUUUUGGCGGUUCUUGUCAUCUUGGUCUCUGUUAAAGCUGCCUCUUUUCCUUUAUAGAUGCUAGGAUGGUUUUAAUCUCUAAGGAUCUUAAGGGCAAGGCCAAUCUCUUCUGGUUCAUGACUGUCUUAUAACAGUCCUGGCAUUUGAGGUGUCUGAGCGUAUCUGUGUUUUACACAAUUAUGCAAAGUUGGAGGCAAUUUCCACCACCUGGAGGGACAACCUGUCCCAAAAACACAACAUCACUUCAGACCUGCUUUUUCAUGUUAAAAAUGCUUGACAUGCUUGACUGUGCUCAGUUAUCAGAAAGUUUUACCAUUGGCAUCUGGAUAAAAAGCAGCCAAGCUGACGGGUGCUACCUGGGGGAAAUGCCAUACUCUGGAAAUUUAACACAACCAUUCUGAUUUUAUUCCUUUUAUUAAUUAUCUUCUGUAACUGACGUGAAAAUAGAUAUAUCUAACUCCAAGAUAAAGGUUGCAUUGCUCAAGUAAAUGGCUCUAAAACUUUUCAGAAGAAUAAGAUAGGUUUGAUGGUAUAGCUGGUAAGUAUAAUAUUGUUCGAUGGUUACUAAUAUGUAUAUUACUCAGCAGUUUAAGAGACUGGAUCUCUCCCUUCUACCUUCCCCCUUCAAAAAAUCAUCAUUCUUUUCUAAAGGACCUGGAAGGUCUAGUUUAGGUUUGUUCUUUCAUUCAGGACCCUUUCUGUCCUGAAGAUUUCCUGUGGUCAUUAAGAAAUUCGUUCUAAACCAUUUUCUAUAUGCUGUCCCUAAAUUAUUCUACCCCUAGAGCUUUUAAACUGGGGAUGUUACUUCAGCCAGAAAUGUUAGCCCUAAUUGGUAGAUAGAGUUAUCUUCUAUAUUGUCUUGUAGUGGUGCAAGAUACCCAUAAUUUGCAUAAUGUAGCAGCAGCCAAGAAGGCCUCCUUGUCUGUCCUAAAGUCAAGCUGGAACUGUUUUAGCUCAUAAACAGAAGCAAUUAAUGCGGGCAAAGACUUGAAGGGAUAGUUGUUUGUUCUUUGAGACAAUUUAUUGGCAUUCAUAGCAACUCUCUUCUAUGUUUGCCUAGAGUGUCUGAUUUUGUUCAGAAAUAAUGUAAGAAUUAUGUCAAUAAUGCUGAUCCUUUUCAGUAGAAAAUAAUGGCAUCUGUUUGAUACAUACAAUAUCAGAGCUAUCAGUGUGUGCUUUUGCUAGCAGGUGAAAUUACUUGACAAAAUAUCUGCAAAGUGAUCUAGAAGGACUAGCUUGCAGUUUGUCUUAAUGCCUGCCCCCUGUAGCACUUAAAUUGGGUGUGCUCGUGUAAAUUCAGCUGAUGAAUAAGGAGAACGCAUUUCAUGUGGCUGGUGCAUGAAAUCCUCCACUUACAUUUACAGCCUUUGAUUUAAAAUUAUAAUGUUAUUUUAUGUUCUUAUAUAUGCCCUAUGUCAUGGGUUCAUGUAACUUUAAGAAUGUUGAAAAUAAGGAAAAAAAAUCACCAGUGCAUAAAGGUAAGCAUGUAGGAUUAUAUCAGUAAGACUGAAUUUGUCUGGGACAGUAAUUAGAUAUUUUUAAGUCUAAGCAAAACUCGAAACUCGUAGCCUUCUCUUCUCCAGACUGGACAACCCAAGUGUGCCCUCAGCCUCUCCUUGCAGGACAUGCCUCCCAGUCCUGCUGCCAGCUUUGUUGCCCUCAGGAUACAGUGGAAGAACUGAUGUGACUUGAAUUGCAAUCAUCUGAAUUAUUCCAGUUUCUAAUAUCGUUAUAAUAAUUUGGGAAUUGAUUUCCUUUAUUGUCAACCUGUUUUGUUGCUUAGUAAAAGUUUUACAUA